rnacentral:rRNA from 1 species
CUGGAGGUAUCAGAAGUGCGAAUGCUGACAUAAGUAACGAUAAAGCGGGUGAAAAGCCCGCUCGCCGGAAGACCAAGGGUUCCUGUCCAACGUUAAUCGGGGCAGGGUGAGUCGACCCCUAAGGCGAGGCCGAAAGGCGUAGUCGAUGGGAAACAGGUUAAUAUUCCUGUACUUGGUGUUACUGCGAAGGGGGGACGGAGAAGGCUAUGUUGGCCGGGCGACGGUUGUCCCGGUUUAAGCGUGUAGGCUGGUUUUCCAGGCAAAUCCGGAAAAUCAAGGCUGAGGCGUGAUGACGAGGCACUACGGUGCUGAAGCAACAAAUGCCCUGCUUCCAGGAAAAGCCUCUAAGCAUCAGGUAACAUCAAAUCGUACCCCAAACCGACACAGGUGGUCAGGUAGAGAAUACCAAGGCGCUUGAGAGAACUCGGGUGAAGGAACUAGGCAAAAUGGUGCCGUAACUUCGGGAGAAGGCACGCUGAUAUGUAGGUGAAGUCCCUCGCGGAUGGAGCUGAAAUCAGUCGAAGAUACCAGCUGGCUGCAACUGUUUAUUAAAAACACAGCACUGUGCAAACACGAAAGUGGACGUAUACGGUGUGACGCCUGCCCGGUGCCGGAA